UACGGAGGGGUUAGCGUUGUUCGGAAUUACUGGGCGUAAAGCGCGCGUAGGCGGAUUGGAAGUUGGGGUGAAAUCCCGGGGCUCAACCCCGGAACUGCCUCCAAACUUCCAGUCUGGAGUUCGAGAGAGGUGAGUGGGAUUCCGAGUGUAGAGGUGAAAUUCGUAGAUAUUCGGAGGAACACCAGUGGCGAAGGCGGCUCACUGGCUCGAUACUGACGCUGAGGUGCGAAAGUGUGGGGAGCAAACAGG
rnacentral:rRNA from 1 species